AUUGAACGCUGGCGGCAUGCUUUACACAUGCAAGUCGAACGGCAGCAUGGGCUUCGGCCUGAUGGCGAGUGGCGAACGGGUGAGUAAUAUAUCGGAACGUACCCAAGAGGGGGGGAUAACGUAGCGAAAGUUACGCUAAUACCGCAUACGAUCCAAGGAUGAAAGUGGGGGACCUUCGGGCCUCAUGCUCCUGGAGCGGCCGAUAUCUGAUUAGCUAGUUGGUAGGGUAAAGGCCUACCAAGGCAUUGACCAGUAGCUGGUCUGAGAGGACGACCAGCCACACUGGAACUGAGACACGGUCCAGACUCCUACGGGAGGCAGCAGUGGGGAAUUUUGGACAAUGGGGGCAACCCUGAUCCAGCAAUGCCGCGUGAGUGAAGAAGGCCUUCGGGUUGUAAAGCUCUUACGGCCGGGAAGAAAUCGUGUGGGCUAAUACCCCAUAUGGAUGACGGUACCGGAAUAAGAAGCACCGGCUAACUACGUGCCAGCAGCCGCCGUAACAC
rnacentral:rRNA from 1 species